UGCCGUUCGGGUUAUCGACAGAU
rnacentral:misc_RNA from 1 species